GCAAGAGUAGUGUAGUGGUUUGAGUGUUAGACUGUGACUCUGACAGACCAGGGUUCGAAUCCCAGCUCAGCCA